rnacentral:lncRNA from 1 species
GAAGAAACAACAACAACAAACACCCCACAUAUGAAGGAUUACACAGAACCAAGUAUUACCUGAAUGAUACGUUUCAUAGCACAGGUAGUGCUGUGUAUCCAGUCAUACUGUCCUGUGGCUCUAAAGAAGCUGUUAGGAUUGCCUUGGAUAAGAGAGCACUUUGAGGUCUGAGCACUGAUGCUACUCCUGAAGUUGCUGAGUGCCGCCAAGCAGAUCCUCGGAUAGGAACUGAAGGAAGGCACAACACUACGAGAAAGAGAGCUCCUGCAGCUGUCGGUAGUAAGAAGUCUCUUCAAGUCAGUCACGAGGGAGCAGCUUCACUCAUCUGGGAACACAAAGCCGAUGUAAUGCAGGAUGUCAGAAAGUGGCUGUGGCCAGCACCUGCAGGCGCGACAAAGAAGUCAGAUCUCUUUGACUCUGGAGAGGCAGUUCUGUGUUGGCUUCCAAAGAGUUUUCCUUGCAUGAGAACAGUGGGGUUUGGCCUGGAAAAUGUUAGAGCAAGGUAAAGGAAAGUGCAACUACAGCUGCAGGUCACAGAUGAGGAGUGUCUGUCGGGAUGUACCAUCCUUCCUUUUCCAACCCAGAAGAACUACUCAGACUGGAAAGCAACCAAAAGGUGGAGUAUGAGAUGGAUUUAAGCUUCAAGUGCAUCUUAAAGGUGGCCAGUUGUAAUGCUUCAGAGAGAUGACAAUGAUCCUUCUUUCUUUUUUUGGAACAAUUGAGUGUGGUGGCUUUGUAAGAAAAUUAAGACCAGAAUUUUGUUCUGCACUUUUGAAUGGUAACUGAAAUAAUGUUGCUGGCAGUGACAGAGCUGCUACUGAGUCAAAAAGCAGCAGAGAUUCCCAUUCUUGCCAGCAAAGCUCACAAUGGGCUGAGCAUGGCUGGCAAAAACACUUCCAUGUGUUCCCAUAUACCUGUAUGUGUAUACAUGCACUCGUGUAUGUAUAUAUAAAUGAAAACAAGAGAGGUUUCUUAAAUGAAAAAUAAAAGCCAGAGAAAAGAAGCAUCCCAGCCCAAAGGGCUG